rnacentral:rRNA from 1 species
CGUGAGGGAAAGGCGAAAAGAACCCCGGCGAGGGGAGUGAAAAAGAACCUGAAACCGUGUACGUACAAGCAGUGGGAGCACCCUUUGGGGUGUGACUGCGUACCUUUUGUAUAAUGGGUCAGCGACUUAUAUUCUGUAGCAAGGUUAACCGAAUAGGGGAGCCGGAGGGAAACCGAGUCUUAAUUGGGCGUUAAGUUGCAGGGUAUAGACCCGAAACCCGGUGAUCUAGCCAUGGGCAGGUUGAAGGUUGGGUAACACUAACUGGAGGACCGAACCGACUAAUGUUGAAAAAUUAGCGGAUGACCUGUGGCUGGGGGUGAAAGGCCAAUCAAACCGGGAGAUAGCUGGUUCUCCCCGAAAGCUAUUUAGGUAGCGCCUCGUGAAUUCAUCUCCGGGGGUAGAGCACUGUUUCGGCUAGGGGGCCAUCCCGGCUUACCAACCCGAUGCAAACUGCGAAUACCGGAGAAUGUUAUCACGGGAGACACACGGCGGGUGCUAACGUCCGUCGUGAAGAGGGAAACAACCCAGACCGCCAGCUAAGGUCCCAAAGUCAUGGUUAAGUGGGAAACGAUGUGGGAAGGCCCAGACAGCCAGGAUGUUGGCUUAGAAGCAGCCAUCAUUUAAAGAAAGCGUAAUAGCUCACUGGUCGAGUCGGCCUGCGCGGAAGAUGUAACGGGGCUAAACCAUGCACCGAAGCUGCGGCAGCGACGCUGAUGCGUUGUUGGGUAGGGGAGCGUUCUGUAAGCCUGCGAAGGUGGCCUGUGAGGGUUGCUGGAGGUAUCAGAAGUGCGAAUGCUGACAUAAGUAACGAUAAAGCGGGUGAAAAGCCCGCUCGCCGGAAGACCAAGGGUUCCUGUCCAACGUUAAUCGGGGCAGGGUGAGUCGACCCCUAAGGCGAGGCCGAAAGGCGUAGUCGAUGGGAAACGGGUUAAUAUUCCCGUACUUGGUGUUACUGCGAAGGGGGGACGGAGAAGGCUAUGUUGGCCGGGCGACGGUUGUCCCGGUUUAAGCGUGUAGGUGUGUGUUCCAGGUAAAUCCGGUUCACUUUAACACUGAGGCGUGACGACGAGGCACUACGGUGCUGAAGCAACAAAUGCCCUGCUUCCAGGAAAAGCCUCUAAGCAUCAGGUAACAUCAAAUCGUACCCCAAACCGACACAGGUGGUCAGGUAGAGAAUACCAAGGCGCUUGAGAGAACUCGGGUGAAGGAACUAGGCAAAAUGGUGCCGUAACUUCGGGAGAAGGCACGCUGACACGUAGGUGAAGUGAUUUACUCAUGGAGCUGAAGUCAGUCGAAGAUACCAGCUGGCUGCAACUGUUUAUUAAAAACACAGCACUGUGCAAACACGAAAGUGGACGUAUACGGUGUGACGCCUGCCCGGUGCCGGAAGGUUAAUUGAUGGGGUCAGCGCAAGCGAAGCUCCUGAUCGAAGCCCCGGUAAACGGCGGCCGUAACUAUAACGGUCCUAAGGUAGCGAAAUUCCUUGUCGGGUAAGUUCCGACCUGCACGAAUGGCGUAAUGAUGGCCAGGCUGUCUCCACCCGAGACUCAGUGAAAUUGAACUCGCUGUGAAGAUGCAGUGUACCCGCGGCAAGACGGAAAGACCCCGUGAACCUUUACUAUAGCUUGACACUGAACAUUGAGCCUUGAUGUGUAGGAUAGGUGGGAGGCUUUGAAGUGUGGACGCCAGUCUGCAUGGAGCCGACCUUGAAAUACCACCCUUUAAUGUUUGAUGUUCUAACGUGGACCCGUGAUCCGGGUUGCGGACAGUGUCUGGUGGGUAGUUUGACUGGGGCGGUCUCCUCCUAAAGAGUAACGGAGGAGCACGAAGGUUGGCUAAUCCUGGUCGGACAUCAGGAGGUUAGUGCAAUGGCAUAAGCCAGCUUGACUGCGAGCGUGACGGCGCGAGCAGGUGCGAAAGCAGGUCAUAGUGAUCCGGUGGUUCUGAAUGGAAGGGCCAUCGCUCAACGGAUAAAAGGUACUCCGGGGAUAACAGGCUGAUACCGCCCAAGAGUUCAUAUCGACGGCGGUGUUUGGCACCUCGAUGUCGGCUCAUCACAUCCUGGGGCUGAAGUAGGUCCCAAGGGUAUGGCUGUUCGCCAUUUAAAGUGGUACGCGAGCUGGGUUUAGAACGUCGUGAGACAGUUCGGUCCCUAUCUGCCGUGGGCGCUGGAGAACUGAGGGGGGCUGCUCCUAGUACGAGAGGACCGGAGUGGACGCAUCACUGGUGUUCGGGUUGUCAUGCCAAUGGCACUGCCCGGUAGCUAAAUGCGGAAGAGAUAAGUGCUGAAAGCAUCUAAGCACGAAACUUGCCCCGAGAUGAGUUCU